AUUGAACGCUGGCGGCAGGCCUAACACAUGCAAGUCGAGCGAGGGGCGGGCGGGUGAGUAAUAUAUGUGGACUGCCCGAUAGAGGGGGAUAACUACUGGAAACGGUAGAUACUCACGCAUACUAUCGGAGAACUCACAUGGGAUUAGCUAGUAGGUGGGGUAAAGGCUCACCUAGGCGACGAUCCCUAGCUGGUCUGAGAGGAUGAUCAGCCACACUGGGACUGAGAUCCGGCCCAGAGUCAUACGGAUGAAGCCGUAGUGAAUAUGGCAGCAGGGGUGCAAGACAUAUGAAGCCGUGCCGCGUGUAUGAAGAAGGCCUUCGGGUUGUAAAGUACUUUCAGUCGGGAGGCGUUACCGACAGAAGAAGCACCGGCUAACUCCGUGCCAGCAGCCGCGGUAAUAC
rnacentral:rRNA from 1 species